rnacentral:misc_RNA from 1 species
GAUGAAGAACGUAGCGAAAUGCGAUAAGUAAUGUGAAUUGCAGAAUUCAGUGAAUCAUCGAAUCUUUGAACGCACAUUGCGCCCGCCAGUAUUCUGGCGGGCAUGCCUGUUCGAGCGUUAUUUCAACCAUCAAGCCCCCGGCUUGUGUUGGGGACCUGCGGCUGCCGCAGGCCCUGAAAAGCAGUGGCGGGCUCGCUGUCACACCGAGCGUAGUAGCAUACAUCUCGCUCUGGGCGUGCUGCGGGUUCCGGCCGUUAAACCACCUUCAUAACCCAAGGUUGACCUCGGAUCAGGUAGGAAGACCCGCUGAACUUAAGCAUAUCAAUAAGCGGAGGA